CGGGAAAUCCACCCGCCCAACGGGUGGGCGUCCGGUAGAAACUGGCCGGCUUGGAACCGGAAGGCUCAGAGAGUACGUCCGGGGUAGGAGUGAAAUCCUGUAAUCCCGGACGGACUACCGAUGGCGAAAGCACUCUGAGAAGACGGCUUCGACAGUGAGGGACGAAAGCUCGGGUCUCAAACCGGAUUAGAUACCCGGGU
rnacentral:rRNA from 1 species